rnacentral:rRNA from 1 species
GUGAACGCUGGCAGUGUGCCUAAUGCAUGCAAGUCGAGCGGUUCUUCUCGCAAGGGAAGGAUAGCGGCGAACGGCUGAGCAACACACAGGGAACCUACCCUCUGGUGGGGGAUAAUCCCGCGAAAGCGGGACUAAUACCGCGUACGUCCUUCUGGUACAAGCUGGAAGGAGAAAGUUCCGGCGCAAGUCGGGACGCCGAUGGAUGGUCUUGUGUCCCAUCAGGUAGUUGGUGAGGUAACGGCCCACCAAGCCUUCGACGGGUAGCUGGUCUGAGAGGACGGCCAGCCAGAGGGGGACUGAGACACGGCCCCCACUCCUACGGGAGGCAGCAGCAAGGGAUCUUGGGCAAUGGGCGAAAGCCUGACCCAGCGACACUGCGUGGGGGACGAAGGCCUUCGGGUCGUAAACCCCUUUUCCCGGGGAAGAGUAAGGACGGUACUCGGGGAAUAAGUCCCGGCUAACUACGU